AACCGCUGAAAGCAUCUAAGCGGGAAGCCUGCUUCGAGAUGAGGACUCCCACCUCCUUUGAGGGGGUAAGGCUCCCGGGAGACGACCGGGUUGAUAGGCCGGAGAUGGAAGCUCCGUGAGGGGUGGAGUUGACCGGUACUAAUAGGCCGAGGGCUUGACCG
rnacentral:rRNA from 1 species